GAGUUUGAUUCUGGCUCAGAUUGAACGCUGGCGGCAUGCUUUACACAUGCAAGUCGAACGGCAGCGGGGAAGUGCUUGCACUUCUGCCGGCGAGUGGCGAACGGGUGAGUAAUGCAUUGGAACGUACCGGGUAAUGGGGGAUAACUUGCCGAAAGGUAAGCUAAUACCGCAUACGCUUUAAGAAGGAAAGCGGGGGAUCAUCUGACCUCGCGUUAUCCGAGCGGCCAAUGUCUGAUUAGGUAGUUGGUGGGGUAAAAGCCUACCAAGCCGACGAUCAGUAGCGGGUCUGAGAGGAUGAUCCGCCACACUGGGACUGAGACACGGCCCAGACUCCUACGGGAGGCAGCAGUGGGGAAUUUUGGACAAUGGGCGCAAGCCUGAUCCAGCCAUGCCGCGUGUCUGAAGAAGGCCUUCGGGUUGUAAAGGACUUUUGUACGGGAAGAAAAGGUUGUGGCUAAUACCCAUGACUGAUGACCGUACCNANU
rnacentral:rRNA from 1 species